UGCGGGGUAGGCGCGUCUGGCCCGGGGUCUCCGGAGCUUGGGGUAGGAGGACCUGCCCGCCGCGCGGCGCUCCCGCCAGCCUGGCGUGGGUGGCUCACGGGACCCACCCUCCUUCCGGGAGCACGUUGGAGUGGGGUGGGGCAGGGCGGGGUGGGCUCCAGAUUCCUGGAGCACGCAGAGGGGCGCGCUUUGCACCCCACGCCUUCUCACGGAGCCCCGUCCCUCUGGCAACAAACUAGCAAAAAAGUUAGGGGGCAGGGCUUGAGGACGUCCCCCCCCGCAGACUGUUCCCAGCUCUGCUAUGCGAAGUCUUCCUGCUUGGCGGAGGUUUUGGGGAAAGCCAGGGGUCCGUGGCGGCCGGUGGGCCCACUGUAAGCGGACACUGGCGGCGUGGCCCGGGUUUGGGGCCUCCGGCCCUGCCCGCCCGAUAUAGCGGGUGAUUCAGGGCUCAGGCACGCACUGGCGGGGGCUGCGCCAAGCGAGGGCAGCGACCGCCAGCACACGCCCCCGGACCCGCAUGGGCCUCGGCAGCCCCCGCGUCCUCGGGCUGAGAGCUGCCCCGAGCCUCUGGGCACUUUCAGGCCCUUGGGGACGCAGGCAGCGCUCCCGACCCCUCUCUGCUAGAUGGAAGAAGGCGCGGGGGUUGUGGGGGGUGAUUGGGGAGGGGAGGUGGGGUGCAACGUAAGAAGUGCAAGCGGGGUUGGUGGGGCAAAGCGGACAGUCCCUGUCGGGCCCGACGAUCCAGGCGCAGGAAUCACCCUGCUGGCCUGCGGGACAGCGGAGCAGCGGGCAGACAGGCGGGAGGAGGCUGGCACGCGCCAGGCUCCGCCCAGGCCGCUUGUUGCUUCCUUUGCUCUUCUACCGGUUUUGCUCGGAUAAAAAUGCCAUUUUUGUAUCCUGACCGCAAAUAAACCUGGAAAUCUCAGUGUUGCUGGUCCUCCCCGCUCCCUCCUCCCCAAUCACAUUAGAAGAGGCUGAGGGCUUGGUGAUCUUUGGACGGGUGGGAAUUUGCCCAGCCUCUCCUGCGGUCUUCUUCCCACUGGCCUGGUUGACGUUCCCACCCCAAGGAGGUGAGAUCGGGGGUGAAGGCGUUAGUCUAUGCUCCCUCAGCCCCUUCCUCUCCCUAUAGAAGGGAAUGGAAAGAAAAGGAAGGCUACAUUUCCCACACCCUCUAGGUGAGAGAACCUGUCAGGGAGCUGUGGUUUCUCUUACUGCACCAAGCUGGAUUCUGAGUGACCAUCUGGGAUUCAGUGAGGUCCUUAACUGGGUGUCUCUAGGAGGAACUAAGAGAGAUGCAGAUUAGGACAAGUGUUUGGACAGUAGACAAAGGGAGAUGGGUGAACUUGUAUCCAUCCAAGGAGAUGGUGUGGGACAGAUACAGAACUGGCACUGUCCCCUUCCUCAUGCCCAGAGACUCCUCCCAAGUGGCGCUAGAAGUUCCCCCAUCAGCCCAUAUAGCACUAUCUGGUAGAAAUGUUUGUCUAGAGCUGUUUCACUUAAUCUAAAUGCUUGGAAGACUGUAUGUGAGAGAGAUUUUAAAAGAAAUAUGAUUAGUCCCAGGGAAGGGGGUGUCACCAAGGGAAGAACACUCAGGGGUCUGGGACCACAGCUGCCAGCUCUUUUCUCCACAGCCUCGUGUAUUAGAGGGUUGCCACGAAGGGCUUGGAUAGGUUCCUGUCUUCACUCUAAAUAUCCCAGACCAUAGAACGUGGGAAAGUUCUCAGACUCGAGGUAAACCUAUGUCAAAGGUAGAGAUGCUGAGAGAAGGAUGGGUCCUUAGGAAGCAAAACUCCUGUGCAGAGGCCAGUGGCAUCUCUGUUACUCCCGCUCAGUAGCUGGCAGGGAUCUGUCUGUCCAGUGUCUGUGGGAGUGGGGGGUGAGGUCUAAUCACAGCCUGGAGGUAGAAAGAAUGGCUCAAGCUGGGGACCCUGUGCCUCUAAACCACAGGGCAACUAAGUAACACUGUUCCAACCUGGAGAGGAGCUCAGAGGCAAGGAAAAGAUUCCAGCAACAGGGGUGGGGCUCAGGGAAGCAGCACUUCCCUGAGAUGCAGAGCAGAUGUCCAGGUAAGGGGUGAGGGUGUGGGGUACUCAGCAGCUAAAGAAAGAGCAGAGGCUGCUCCUUUCUGAGGUCUUCAGGCCUGGGAAGAGAAGGAGGUAAAAAUAGCUCUGCGCCUUGGCAGACCUAAUAGGGAAGAUUGGGGGCGGCAGCAUUUAUGGUAGUCAGGCUGAGGGGCAGGAUGCUUGGGUGGCCAGGCAGAGAGAGAGAGAGAGAUUUGGAGAAAGGCCUCCUGGGAGAAUGUGAGUUUUCCAGAGUGGGAACAGGGGAGUGGAUACUGCAUUCCCCGCUGCAGAUGUGGGAGGUGAUGAUGCAGCAAUGGGGGCAGGGUGGAAGGGAGAAUGAAAGGCCAGGAAGGCCCCAGCUGUGGGAUCAGGCCACCUGCCCCCCCAUACCUUUUUCCUGGGGGGGAUAAAGAAGAGAAUCCCUUGUGUGGCCUCACCCCAUAUUCAAGGAACUGUUAGACAUAAUGAUUCCACAGGUUAAGUUUGUAUUCGAUCUCCCUGGCUCCCCCAUGAAAUUUAGCACCUCCCACCCCAGGAUAUCAGAGCCCUCACCUUGAACCCACUUCUGAGUCAUUACUGUCCUCUGGCAUUUCCCUAUCCCCUAAUAAAAACUAGCAGUUUGACAUCCCAUCCUAUCAGGGUGAUACCUAACUAGGCCACAUCCAGUGAAGGAGAAGAACGAAAUCUACUAGUAGCGAAGGGUCAGUGGACUGAGAACUGACUGCUGGGAAGAUCAGGCAGAUCCUGGGCACUGCACAAACGGGAGGGGCACUGAUCAUUAAAGAUUCGGUUCUUCCAGAUAACGAUUUGGAUAUUACUAGUGUUCUUUUAGAAUGCAGAAAAGGGGGCUAAAAUGGAAAGAAACUCUUUCUGGAGCAGUUGUGAUGAGACAUGAUCUCCACAAGGACCCUUCGGACCUGCUUCCAGUGCUUGAUGAAAGGACCAGGAAGCAUUUAAGGGAUUAAGGACGUUCAGGCUUUAAAAACAAGGGCACCAAGGCUGGAAUGAGGGCUUGCUGGCUUUUCCUCCCCAAAUCCUAGCCUAACCCCUAUAGCUCUUUACUGGACUCAAGGCAAAUGAGGGCUCUCUGUUCCAGAACUCCAAACUUUUGUUCCCAAAUAUUCCAAUGUGAGGCUCUUGCCCCGCUCAGUUCCUGAGCCUAGUGGCCAUGGAAAGAGUGCUUACCACAUCCUUCCUCUGAAACGCUGAGAUUUUCCUGGUCAUUGGAUCCAAAGCAGGGAGGAUACUAUUAGGGGUAAUCCUAAGACUAAAGGAAAUAAUACUCCUCCCUCUGAUUUUUUUUUUUUUAAAUAACUAAAGUCUGACUAUUAUAAAGGUCAAAAUCAAAAAGGGAUGCAAUGGCACAAAAUAAGCUACUGAUAUAGAGAAGUGAGAGGAUAUUGUUGCUAGGCAACCAACCUCAGAGAUGAGUAGUGGUUUGUUCCAUUUCACUGAAGCAUACCAUGUGCAUGUUUCAUUAUUCUGCCAUUACAGAUUUUUUUGAGCUGGAAGAUGCUUCAGCGAUAAUCAGCUUAAGCUCCUUCAUUCUAUAGCUGGGGAAGUGGAGGCCCAAAGAGGGGAACUUACUUGCCUACUGUCACUCAAGUCAGUGGGGGGUCAAAGCUGGGACUAGAACCCAGGUGUACCCCUUCUUCUGCUAAAUUCUCUGCUCCCCACUUCCUCCCUCCAUUCCCGGGCUCUGCGGAGAAACCAGGGCAGAGGUUAUUCCAACAGUGGGUUUGUUCUGGCUCCGUCAUUCUCUAAGGGAGAUAGUUGCACCAUCCUGGCACUUGGGCUGCUGUCUGAGUACAUGUGUGCGUGUGCAUGUGUGUGUACACGUGAGGGUGCAAUCAACAUUACUAAGAGUAGCUAAGGUUGGUGGCCAUUAGUUGCUUAGUCUCCUAGUACUGAAGCAGAGGCAAUGGCCGAUGACAAAGGACCAAUGACAGUGAGGGAGGAGGGAGGGGUACAGAGAGUAAAGCAUAGAGCUAUCCCCCUGGCAUAGGCUCUGCAGCUGGCUAUGAGAGGACCAUGUUGGCUUUCUCCUUGGCCUUCCUUCUCCUUAUACUCCACAGGGAAGGUUGGCACCUGCUACUUUGUGUUUUUGUGGCUGCAGGCUUUUACCCACCACUGCUGUCACUGGAGUCUGGUAGUGCCCCUAACCAUCUCUCUCCCUGACUUCUCAUGAUGGUCCAAGGCAAGAGUGGCAGCUCAGCCCCUCAGGAGGGAGAAUGGGAGCUGCUGCUAGGUCUUCCAGGAUGCAAGCCCAGCUGUCAUAAAAAGAGCUUGGCUUUUGUUCCUGAUUUCUCUGAGUAUCUUGGUGUCUGCUAUCCCAGGCAUGUGUAGGGGGAGGAGCGGCAAGGAAGGCCAGAGGUGGGGACAUGGCCAAAGGGAAACAACCAGGAAGUCCCUCUUCCACGCCUCUACCUCUCCUUAUCCUGGGUGGCACCCAGUGCCCACCCUGCCCUGGGGAAAUAAUAAGAACUAGGACUCUGAAGACAGUAGAGUUGUUCACCUACUUGCUUUCUUUUUCACUUCUCAGAGCCUCUCCGGCUAGAGUCGGUAACUGACCGCUUAGAGAGCCCCUUCUACGUUGCAGCAGCCUCUUACUCCCGCACUCCAGCCCUCAACAGCAUCAUCCCAUGACUAUGGCUUGGUAGGGACAGAAGGCAGAAGGCUCAGGAUGAGAGUGGGGAAGAUUCUAGAGGGAAGAAGAGAGGAGCUCUGGGAAGAAGAGAGGAGCUCUGUUUAAACUGUUUAUUAAACAUGGGCCUGGGUUUGUCACACUUUCAUCCCCGGGGCCCUCUUGAUGAAGCAUAUAAAAUAUGGUUCCUUUCCAGCCUGAUGCAUGCCAUAUUCCCUUCCCCUACUCACCAACUCCAAUUCUGCAUGCCCACUAAGGCCUCUUUCUCUCAACCGCAUCCGUACCCAACUCAAGCCCCAUUUACACCCCUUUUCCUCAUCUUAGCCCGAGAAGAAGCUGAAAGCACCCUCUGACCUGGCCACACCCAAGAUCGUGCCUUUUGACCUUCUGCCUGAGACUGAGCCCAUUGACCUGAAGCCUGAGACAGUGCCUGAGCUCCCACCCUUUGACCAGACGCCUAGGACACUGCCCUAUUACCCAGAGCCUGUGUCUCUGCCCACCCCAGAGAAGCCGACAGCCGGUGGGGGCGCUUAGGGUCUCUUGGGUGACACGGCGCAGUGGGCAUGGGCCGUCACUUCAGUCCACCACCAGCUCACUUCUUAGUGGUGGUCAGUAUUGGGAUGAGAGGCCUCUUUCAAGCCCUGGGUUGGUGGUGGAUAUGGUGAAAACACUCUCGCAGUACGCAGAGUUCAGGCAAAUGUGGUGUGUGCAAUGGGGUGGGAAGCGAAGGGACGGGGCCCUCCCCCACCUCUGGGUUUCUGUCUUAAUAGUAGACGCUCCAAACCCCAUAUUGGAGCUGCAGCCCGUGCUGUCCUGCAUGAAAUUGCAUGAAACUGUGCCAUGGCAUCUGAUUCUCCUUCCUGUUCCCCUUCUGCCUCCUCCUCAGGGACAGGCCAGUUUGGCUCAAAGCUUCUUUGGAGAGGGCCCUCAUGAGGCCCAGGCCUGGGGUCUGUUCUGUGCCCCGUCCACCCCCUCCCUGGAGCUGAGGAAAACAUUUAAACUUAUUUUUUCCAAUUUUUUUUAGAAAGUGUUUUGCAAAGGGAUCCCUUAUGUUUGCCAGAUCCUGCCUUGGGUGGGGCACCCAAAAGCUGCCAACUUGGAGAGGCCGGAAGGGGGGACAUUUUAGCUGGCUCUGGCUUGGAUCCUCUGGCUUCCCUAUAGCACAAAAGGGUUUCCUCCAACUUUUUUUCCUUUUCCAAAAUCAUCCUCCUAAGGAAUCCUUUUAAACAUUUUCCCUAACUGUCCCCUCCUCCACGAAAUUUUAAUGCUACAGAUAUACUAUCUAUCUACAUAUGUAUUGGGACUCUUUGGCACUACAAACUACUGGGAUAUCUAAAUUCACCUCUCCCCUCAAGAAUUAAUUUCCACCCUCUUGGGGGCAACAUGAAUCCCUAACAAUCCUGAGAUUUUAUGACUUUCCCUCGUUUCUACCUCUCCCCAAGUCUUGCCCCUCUUCUAACUUACUCUCUGAGCAGAUCCUGGGUCUCUGAAUGCCCUCUCCAGAGUCUUCUCUGGCUAGUCCCAGGCGGUAGUUGGGGACAGAGCGUAAAGUCCAGAGAGUCUCCUGGGGUGCCUGGCUGGCUCAGUCAGUAGAGCCUGUGACUCCUGAUCUCAGGGUCAUGAGGUUGAGCCCCACAUUGGAUAUAGAACUUACUUAAAAAAAAAAAAAAAAAAAAAAAGAUUAAAGAAAAGAAAAAAAAGGAAAGAAAGGCUCCUACUUAAAGAGUCAUAUGACAUUGUCCCUUCUCCCUGACAAAUGUGAAAUGCCUGGCCAAGGACUAGGCACAUAGUAGGUGCUCGAUUAAAUUAUAAUCAUAUUAAAAUCUUCUUCCUAGACCAGAGGAUCUUCAGUUUAUAAAGCAGAGUUGGGCAGUGGAGCUGAUGGGGCGGGAAGUUUCCCUGGGGCUCCUGAAACCCAUCUUGGACUGGUGCCUUCCUGGGUUGGAGAACUGUGUGUGCUUGGUUGGGGGGAGGGGAAGCUGUGCAUGCUUUUGCUCAGACCUGGUCAUUAAAGGUAACUCUGGAAACCAAGCCUGUCGGGAGUGGUGGUUUUCUUUAAUAAAAGCGUGAAAACAGAACAAGCAGAGCCACCCCCUGAGGCCCCUCCUUUGGUGUAGGAGCUCUGCCAGGGCAGCAGGGGUGGGACAAGGGUGCCUGGCCAUUGUGCCCAGGGUAGGGGGAGGUGCUUUGGAAUUGUGUUGGUGGUUGCUGUAGCAACAGGCUGAUGGGGUGGACCCAAAACAGCACUCCAAGCCUAUGAGUCAUAGGGGAAACCUGGCUUGGAAAGGGGGAGAAAAGAGAAAAUCCAUUAAUGGAGGAAAAAAGCUAAAAUCAUAGUGGUAUACCCUCUGCAGAGCCAGUCUACUGAACGUUGUCCAGGGAGUUAGGUCAAGUUAUUUCUUCCCCCAUCCCCUGACUUUCCACCAAAGCAGCUCUUCUGGUGUAAGCUAUCACUCUGGGGGGAACCUACAAUGAAUGGUGUUAAUAUAUUUUCAUAUAACUUUCUGGACUGGGAGAGACACCUCCAAAUCCAGGAAUAAACCCCCUUCACUGGGAUUGUUCCCUGAUGUUGUAUUUGAGACCUUUCAACAAGAAUUAGGAAGAUGGGAUUGGCUACAAGAGGUCCGCGACUCUGUCCUUAGCCCCGUUCAAGCUCAGCUGGCAAACACUUUUAAUUUAGGAAGCCAGAGGCCAGGAAAACCAGUCAGCUCAGCCAUUAAGGGAUGGGGUGGGGCAGGGGUGAGGGGGCGGUGGUAAGGGGAGGCAUCAGGGAUGUUGGGGGUGGGGCAGGGGGACAAUGUCGAUUUGUUUUCCAGCAGCUGGGACUAUUUCCUUACUAUUCCCCCCCUAUCACCCUAAUCCUUCCCUAGCCCAUCCACAUUGUCUGAGUUUAGUGAAAGGAGGGGUUCUCUACUAUCCUUUGGUGGAGCGUGUGUGGGGUUUUAGUCAGAGAGUCUUUGAAGAAGAUCAGAGCUGAAAUUUUUUUGAUACUGGGGUUGCAGGUAAAUUCUGGGUGAAGAAGUAGCAGAGAGCUUAGAUCAUGGAGAGUCCUAAAAUGGUGUGUAAGAGAGAGGACUUGAGUAGCAGGCAGAAAGACUG